AAUCAAAUCUUAAUUAAAAUCCUAAUUAAAAUCGUAAUGAACCUUAAUCAAAUUCUAACUAAAAUUCUAAUGGAUCUUAACCAAAUCCUACUUCAAAUCCUAAUAAUAUCCUAAAUCCUAAAUCAAUCAUAAUAAAAUACUAAACUUUAGAUUAAUCCUAAUGAAUCCUGAUAGAAUCCUAUUAUAAUCCUACAUCAUAUAUCAACUCUAAUGAAAUCCUAGACAAACCUAAUCAAAUCUUAAUCAAUUUUUAGUCAUAUUCUAAUUAAAUCAUAAUUCAAUUCUAAUCUAAUCCUAGUUAAAUC
rnacentral:lncRNA from 1 species